GAUGAACGCUAGCGGGAGGCCUAACACAUGCAAGCCGAGCGGGAUUUGAGGCUAGCUUGCUAGUCUUAAUGAGAGCGGCGUACGGGUGCGGAACACGUGUGCAACCUGCCUUUAUCUGGGAGAUAGCCUUUCGAAAGGAAGAUUAAUAUCCCAUAAUAUAAUGAUUGGCAUCAAUUAUUAUUGAAAGCUCCGGCGGAGAGAGAUGGGCACGCGCAAGAUUAGAUAGUUGGUGAGGUAACGGCUCACCAAGUCGAUGAUCUUUAGGGGGCCGUAGAGGGUGAGCCCACACACUGGUACUGAGACACGGACCAGCCUCCUGCGGGCGGCAGCAGUGAGGAAUAUUGGACAAUGAGUGAAAGCCUGAUCCAGCCAUCCCGCGUGAAGGAUUAAGGACCGAUGGUUUGUAAACUUCUUUUCUACAGGGAUAAACCUACGCUCGUGGAAGUAGCUGAAGGUACUGUAGGAAUAAGCACCGGCUAACUCCGUGCCAGCAGCCGCCGCCGUAA
rnacentral:rRNA from 1 species